GGGUUGUGAGGUUAAGCGACUAAGCGUACACGGUGGAUGCCCUGGCAGUCAGAGGCGAUGAAGGGCGUGCUAAUCUGCGAUAAGCGCCGGUAAGGUGAUAUGAACCGUUAUAACCGGCGAUACCCGAAUGGGGAAACCCAGUGUGACUCGUCACACUAUCAUUAACUGAAUCCAUAGGUUAAUGAGGCGAACCGGGGGAACUGAAACAUCUAAGUACCCCGAGGAAAAGAAAUCAACCGAGAUUCCCCCAGUAGCGGCGAGCGAACGGGGAGGAGCCCAGAGCCUGAAUCAGCAUGUGUGUUAGUGGAAGCGUCUGGAAAGGCGCGCGAUACAGGGUGACAGCCCCGUACACAAAAGCGCAUGUGCUGUGAGCUCGAUGAGUAGGGCGGGACACGUGGUAUCCUGUCUGAAUAUGGGGGGACCAUCCUCCAAGGCUAAAUACUCCUGACUGACCGAUAGUGAACCAGUACCGUGAGGGAAAGGCGAAAAGAACCCCGGCGAGGGGAGUGAAAAAGAACCUGAAACCGUGUACGUACAAGCAGUGGGAGCCCCACCACUAAGCCAGUGGUGAACUCCACAUACGCAUCCUUUGCUGAGGAUACGGUUAACGGAGCGAAAGCGACGUUCAACCUCAAAAGAAGCAGAGGGGGCUUAGUGGUGGGGUGACUGCGUACCUUUUGUAUAAUGGGUCAGCGACUUAUAUUCUGUAGCAAGGUUAACCGCAUAGGGGAGCCGGAGGGAAACCGAGUCUUAAUUGGGCGUUAAGUUGCAGGGUAUAGACCCGAAACCCGGUGAUCUAGCCAUGGGCAGGUUGAAGGUUGGGUAACACUAACUGGAGGACCGAACCGACUAAUGUUGAAAAAUUAGCGGAUGACCUGUGGCUGGGGGUGAAAGGCCAAUCAAACCGGGAGAUAGCUGGUUCUCCCCGAAAGCUAUUUAGGUAGCGCCUCGUGAAUUCAUCUCCGGGGGUAGAGCACUGUUUCGGCUAGGGGGCCAUCCCGGCUUACCAACCCGAUGCAAACUGCGAAUACCGGAGAAUGUUAUCACGGGAGACACACGGCGGGUGCUAACGUCCGUCGUGAAGAGGGAAACAACCCAGACCGCCAGCUAAGGUCCCAAAGUCAUGGUUAAGUGGGAAACGAUGUGGGAAGGCCCAGACAGCCAGGAUGUUGGCUUAGAAGCAGCCAUCAUUUAAAGAAAGCGUAAUAGCUCACUGGUCGAGUCGGCCUGCGCGGAAGAUGUAACGGGGCUAAACCAUGCACCGAAGCUGCGGCAGCGA
rnacentral:rRNA from 1 species